rnacentral:rRNA from 1 species
UGGGGAAUUUUGGACAAUGGGGGAAACCCUGAUCCAGCCAUCCCGCGUGUGCGAUGAAGGCCUUCGGGUUGUAAAGCACUUUUGCCGGGAAAGAACGUCCUUGGUUAAUACCCCGUGGAACUUGCGGGACCUGCAGAAUAAACAACCGCUAACUACGUGCCAGCAGCCGCGGUAAUACGUAGGGUGCAAGCGUUAAUCGGAAUUACUGGGCGUAAAGCGUGCGCAGGCGGUUCGGAAAGAAAGAUGUGAAAUCCCAGAGCUCAACUUUGGAACUGCAUUUUUAACUACCGGGCUAGAGUGUGUCAGAGGGAGGUGGAAUUCCGCGUGUAGCAGUGAAAUGCGUAGAUAUGCGGAGGAACACCGAUGGCGAAGGCAGCCUCCUGGGAUAACACUGACGCUCAUGCACGAAAGCGUGGGGAGCAAACAGG